rnacentral:rRNA from 1 species
AGUGAACGCUGGCGGCAGGCCUAACACAUGCAAGUCGAGCGGCAGCGGGUCCCCGCGAGGGGAUGCCGGCGAGCGGCGGACGGGUGAGGAACACAUCGGAAUCUGCCUGGUUGUGGGGGAUAACGUAGGGAAACUUACGCUAAUACCGCAUGAGACCCUGAGUCGACGGACUGGGGGUGAAAGUGAGGGACCUUCGGGCCUCACGCGACCAGAUGAGCCGAUGUCGGAUUAGCUAGUUGGCGGGGUAACGGCCCGCCAAGGCGACGAUCCGUAGCUGGUCUGAGAGGAUGAUCAGCCACACUGGGACUGAGACACGGCCCAGACUCCUACGGGAGGCAGCAGUGGGGAAUCUUGGACAAUGGGCGCAAGCCUGAUCCAGCCAUGCCGCGUGGGUGAAGAAGG